UGCCAGCUGCUCUAAUUACUUGGGCCUCUUACAUGCACAACUUGCAUUGAGAGUUAAAUCACUGAUGCAGGGGAGGCCGCUUGCGGUUCAACUAGGAGACACCCACGGCGUGGUCGUCUACCACGCCACGGCGCUGGCUCCCGAGAAGCUGUGCGCCACGUUUGAGAAAUUCGGCAAGACGAGCGUGGUUCACGGCUUCGAGCUCACCGACGGCAACCACGCCACUGUCGUCUUCUUCUCGGAGCCAAUGAGCUGUGCGGUUUGCUACGUGUCUCUCUCGCGACUGGCACAAGAGCCUGAGAACGUUGGUAUUAUCGAUGUCGGAUGGAUCCACGAAAACGGCGUUGACGCUUUUGCGAAGCGGUCCUAUGUGAGACACAAGUACACCCCUGCUGUCUCCACCGUGGGCGCUGAAUCGGCCGCAUCCAACGGUUACUUGGUUGUGUAUUGGAAGGGCGUGGCGGAACCCGACCGGCGCGAGAUUUCUCAAAUGGCGCACUCGUCGGCCGUCGAGGUUUUUGAGGACAGCAAAGAGGGUGGCCGGUCGUUUCUGCGCUUUUGCUCCGAGGAUGCUGCUGACGCCUUCCACUCCGACGUGCUGUCGCGAUUCGCUGCGAUGAGGCGGUCUCUUUCGUAUGCCGACGCCACAGAUUUCUCACUUGCCAAGGGAGCUGCGUGAAAAACUUCAGCCACCAAGAGUACAUACACACAGGCAGCAAAAAAAAUGCUUCAUUGCAAGCCUUUCGGUUUGUCUGCAGUCUCUCUCUCCCUCAUGGCGAGUCGCGCACUUCCAUUGCGAUCGCAUACAUAUAGGGGAGGGCGUAGAGGCGCGGGAAAGGAGUAUGGGGGUGUGGCCGGUGAUAGCACUUUCCAAGCUUUGCAUACUUCUCCUGAAGAAACAGAGAUAAGCUAUGUGCGAAUGAGUCAGGCUGCACGGCGCUGUGCCACUCCCCAACUGCUCUAUGCUUCAGUCACUGCCUUGCUCACUCGCCUCGAUGGGCGUCUUCAUCGUAAUCUACUGUCUUCUCCCUCUCAAG
rnacentral:misc_RNA from 1 species